GCAAAUCCAUAUCACAUUAUUAUCCAAGAUUAUUGAUCAUUGAUUCUUUUGUUUUUAUUCUUUCUACUUUUUUCUUCUUUUGCUUUCUUGCUUUU
rnacentral:ribozyme from 1 species